GACAGAGGUGCCAAGCGUUAGGCGGAAUCACUGGGCUUAAAGCGUGUGUAGGCGGAAUGGUAAGUACCUUGUGAAAUCCCACGGCUCAACCGUGGAACUGCUGGGUAUACUGCUUUUCUUGAGCCACUUAGGGGCUGUCGGAACAAACGGUGGAGCGGUGAAAUGCGUAGAUAUCGUUUGGGACGCCAAUGGUGAAAACAGACAGCUGGGAGUGUGCUGACGCUGAGACACGAAAGCCAGGGGAGCGAACGGG
rnacentral:rRNA from 1 species